rnacentral:rRNA from 1 species
UACGGAGGGAGCUAGCGUUGUUCGGAAUUACUGGGCGUAAAGCGCGCGUAGGCGGCUUUGUAAGUUAGAGGUGAAAGCCCGGGGCUCAACCCCGGAACUGCCUUUAAGACUGCAUCGCUUGAAUCCGGGAGAGGUGAGUGGAAUUCCGAGUGUAGAGGUGAAAUUCGUUGAUAUUCGGAAGAACACCAGUGGCGAAGGCGGCUCACUGGACCGGUAUUGACGCUGAUGUGCGAAAGCGUGGGGAGCAAACAGG